rnacentral:rRNA from 1 species
CCUACGGGAGGCAGCAGUGAGGAAUAUUGGUCAAUGGGCGUAAGCCUGAACCAGCCAAGUCGCGUGAGGGAUGAAGGUUCUAUGGAUCGUAAACCUCUUUUAUAAGGGAAUAAAGUGCGGGACGUGUCCCGUUUUGUAUGUACCUUAUGAAUAAGGAUCGGCUAACUCCGUGCCAGCAGCCGCGGUAAUACGGAGGAUGCGAGCGUUAUCCGGAUUUAUUGGGUUUAAAGGGUGCGUAGGCGGAAUAUCAAGUCAGCGGUAAAAAUUCGGGGCUCAACCCCGUCGUGCCGUUGAAACUGAUGUUCUUGAGUGGGCGAGAAGUAUGCGGAAUGCGUGGUGUAGCGGUGAAAUGCAUAGAUAUCACGCAGAACUCCGAUUGCGAAGGCAGCAUACCGGCGCCCAACUGACGCUGAAGCACGAAAGCGUGGGUAUCGAACAGGAUUAGAUACCCGGGUAGUC